rnacentral:rRNA from 1 species
AGUGAACGCUGGCGGUAGGCCUAACACAUGCAAGUCGAACGGCAGCACAGUAAGAGCUUGCUCUUACGGGUGGCGAGUGGCGGACGGGUGAGGGAUACAUCGGAAUCUACUUUUUCGUGGGGGAUAACGUAGGGAAACUUACGCUAAUACCGCAUACGACCUACGGGUGAAAGCAGGGGAUCUUCGGACCUUGCGCGAUUGAAUGAGCCGAUGUCGGAUUAGCUAGUUGGCGGGGUAAAGGCCCACCAAGGCGACGAUCCGUAGCUGGUCUGAGAGGAUGAUCAGCCACACUGGAACUGAGACAAGGUCCAGACUCCUACGGGAGGCAGCAGUGGGGAAUAUUGGACAAUGGGCGCAAGCCUGAUCCAGCCAUACCGCGUGGGUGAAGAAGGCCUUCGGGUUGUAAAGCCCUUUUGUUGGGAAAGAAAAGCAGCAGGUUAAUACCCCGCUGUUCUGACGGUACCCAAAGAAUAAGCACCGGCUAACUUCGUG